ACAUCCGUUGAUUUAGAAUUCUAACGGCUAUGAUACGUCGCAUUAACCCUAAAUAAUAGAUGCUCUAUAUAAACUUAUCUAAAUUUUCUAUUACUUCCACAGCUCAUCUAGGGUUUAUAGCU